UCUUAGUCAGAAUGUGUCAGCAGUAGCCGUGGAAGGCUAUCUGAGACAGGUCAGGAGGCAUUGAGGAACCUUCCCAACUUGUUUAUUGGCCUGAACAGAACCUCAAUGCUGGAUAUCUUGAGCCUGUUGUACAUGGGCUGUGAUGGAGGGAAUGUAUAAUAACCUGGAGCAAGCCCUUGGAGUGCUGGUUUGUACCUUCCAGCGCUACUGCCGGAAGGAAGGCAACAAACAUACGCUCAGCAAAGGGGAGCUGCUCGAUCUAUUGAAAACAGAGCUCCCCAGUCUGAAAAUGUUACGAAUAAAAGAAGGAGCCUUUGAGGAGCUGAUGACGUUGCUCGAUUCGAACAAGGACGGACAAGUUGACUUUGAGGAGUACAUCCGAUUUGUGUCAGCAGCUUGCACCUGCUUUCACGACUUCUUCAAGGACUCCCCUGUGGUCUUGCCACGGGUGCAAUAAAACCCAAGCAGCGAUCAAGCUUGGAGCAUGGUGGACGUUUCGUCGUAGGUAAUAAUUUCAGGAGUGUAGGUAGCGAGGAAAGGGUAUUGCUCAAAGAUGUCCAAGCAAGACUUUUUAAUGAAGCUCUAAGGGGUAAAGAACUCUCUGUAGAGAUGCCAAAUUGGUCUUCACGUGACCAGAUGGGCUAAAAGGUUUAUUCAGGAUUAGCCUCUUCAGAUUCAGGUAUAUCAUACGGCUAUGCAGAGAGUUCUCCUUUUUUGCCGUAAAUCCUUACAGUUGCUUACCCAGUCCCAGCCACUGAAUGUAGUAAAAUACUAGAAUGAUGUCCUGCCCGAACUUAUGGUAUUACACUGAAAGUGGACAUUGGCCAUGGUUUACUGAGUAUGAGGCUGAAGAUUAUCAUUCUACUACUGCCUCUCAAGGGUACAAGACUCUAUUCCUGCCACUGGCAGUAGCAACAAAGUUCAGCAUUAAACUGGAACUGUAAUCUAGGACUGCCUUAUAAUUCCUGGAGAAUGUCUCUUCUAGUUACAAAGGGAAUAGGGCCAUUUUAGUGCCACAGAUGGCUUGUACGGCACUGAUGUGGGGAUAUAGUGAUUUUGUUUCUUUGGUAAUGGUGCGAUUUGAAAAGUAUUUCUCAUUGCCAGUUGAAAGCAGCCACUUGGUUGGCACAGAAGGCUAGAGAUGUGUACAAUUACUUGGUUUACCUAUGUCAUGGAUCUGCCACUCAAAUGCAUCUUUCAAAUGGAAAUAGGAGUCUCUUUCAGACAUUCUGUUUUAAGGCUCUAACUGUAUGUAUUGGGAGCAUGUGUCACCCAAGUUCCUUCUGUUGCUCACAGUUCCCAUUUUGUGUGAAUAGCACAAUGUAUACAUUUUCUAGCUUUGGUACAUGUAAAAAGAAUGCCACAUUCUUGAAUAUUUGUUCAUGUGGACCUAAGGCUUGCCAUUGUUGCCUCAGAAAAUGCUGGGAGAUUUUGAGGGUUUCAAAGGCAAGAGACUUGCCACGUCUGUUUGGGCAUGCCAGUCCAGCUAUAAAACAUCUGUGUGCAUCCUCCUUCUUAUGCACCACAAAGCUGCAACUCGUCAAGACUGUAAAUGCAGCUGAGCUGUAACUAUUGUACAGUAAAUCCAAUGUCAUA